CCCUUAGAUGUUCUGGGCCGCACGCGCGCUACACUGAUGAAUUCAACGAGCUUUACCAAUUUUGGUAUUUCCUUUUCUGAAAAGAAUGGGUAAUCUUUUAAAUGUUCAUCGUGAUGGGGCUAGAUUUUUGCAAUUAUUAAUCUCCAACGAGGAAUUCCUAGUAAACGCAAGUCAUCAGCUUGCAUUGAUUACAGUCCCUGCCCUUUGUACACACCGCCCGUCGCACCUACCGAUUGAAUAGUCCGGUGAAAUUUUCGGACUCUGUGAUUUUUCAUUUAUUUGAAAGUUUACGGGGGAAGUUAAGUUAACCUUGCUAUUUAGAGGAAGGUGAAGUCGUAACA
rnacentral:rRNA from 1 species